GCCCUCGUGGAUUAGUUGGUAGACGGUCUUCUGUUCAAUUGGCGAAGUUGCGGAGGAUGCGAGUUCGAGUCUCGCCGAGGACA